rnacentral:lncRNA from 1 species
CUCAUUGAAGUGUGUAUCUACCAUUUCGGAGUUGGUUUCGACACUUUGUUCAUUUGCCCCCAGCUGAUGAGGCAUUGCUUCACAUGUGAUUAGCUUUUCUUUGAUUUCAACUAAUUCCUCUAAUUUCUCUUUUGUUAACUUGUAACCAGAAGCAAUUUGAGCUAAAUCAUUUGCUUCUUGGUUCUCGAUUCGAGGCACAUGCUGAAUAUCACAUGUAUCGAAACGUUUUAGUAAAGAG